GUAGUCCACGCCGUAAACGAUGAACACUAGAUGUCGGAAGUUCUUACCCUUUCGGUGUCGUAGCUAACGCGUUAAGUGUUCCGCCUGGGGAUUACGGUCGCAAGAUUAAAACUCAAAGAAAUUGACGGGGGCCCGCACAAGCGGUGGAGUAUGUGGUUUAAUUCGAUGCAACGCGAAGAACCUUACCUGGGCUUGACAUCCCGCGCAACCCUGUGAAAGCAGGGGUUCCCUUCGGGGACGCGGUGACAGGUGCUGCAUGGCUGUCGUCAGCUCGUGUCGUGAGAUGUUGGGUUAAGUCCCGCAACGAGCGCAACCCUUGUCAUUAGUUGCCAGCAUUAAGUUGGGCACUCUAAUGAGACCGCUUGCCGAUAAGGCAGA
rnacentral:rRNA from 1 species